CACUCUAGAGAGACUGCCAGGGAUAACCUGGAGGAAGGUGGGGAUGACGUCAAAUCAUCAUGCCCCUUAUGCUUAGGGCUACACACGUGCUACAAUGGGUAGUACAGAGGGUUGCCAAGCCGUAAGGUGGAGCUAAUCCCUUAAAGCUACUCUCAGUUCGGAUUGUAGGCUGAAACUCGCCUACAUGAAGCUGGAGGUACUAGUAAUCGCAGAUCAGAAUGCUGCGGUGAAUGCGUUCCCGGGUCUUGUACACAC
rnacentral:rRNA from 1 species